GACGGAGGGGGCUAGCGUUGUUCGGAAUGACUGGGCGUAAAGGGCGCGUAGGCGGUUUUUUAAGUGAGGCGUGAAAGCCCUGGGCUUAACCCAGGAGGUGCGUUUCAUACUGGAAGACUUGAGUGCGAGAGAGGAAAGUGGAAUUCCGAGUGUAGAGGUGAAAUUCGUAGAUAUUCGGAGGAACACCAGUGGCGAAGGCGGCUCACUGGCUCGGUACUGACGCUGAGGUGCGAAAGCGUGGGGAGCAAACAGG
rnacentral:rRNA from 1 species